CACCCUCGGCAGGGGAUCACUCGGCUCAUGGAUCGAUGAAGACCGCAGCUAAAUGCGCGUCAUAAUGUGAACUGCAGGACACAUGAACAUUGAUAAGUUGAACGCAUAUUGCACGUCGUGGGAACCUACCUAUGACGUACACAUACUUGAGCGCUU
rnacentral:rRNA from 1 species